rnacentral:rRNA from 1 species
UACAGAGGCCUCGAGCGUUAGGCGGAAUCACUGGGCUUAAAGCGUGUGUAGGUGGAUGCCUAAGUACCUUGUGAAAUCCCACAGCUUAACUGUGGAAUGGCUGGGUAUACUGGGCGUCUUGAGCCACUCAGGGGCUACCGGAACAAGCGGUGGAGCGGUGAAAUGCGUAGAUAUCGCUUGGAACGCCAAUGGUGAAAACAGGUAGCUGGGGGUGUGCUGACACUGAGACACGAAAGCCAGGGGAGCGAAC